CUCUGGAGACAAAGGUACGGUGUAAAAGAGGUUUUGGUGGUCGCAACAGGACAGGAAGGAAUGGACCUCUGGCAGUUGAGAUAAGUGCAAGAAACUUUAAAGUUGGAGAAGUUUGCGAUGAGGAUGGCUGCUUAUUCCGCCGGCUAGGUCUGACCAAUCAAAAAACCUAGAGCUCUCUUUAUUCCAGGUGCCAAACCCGGGACGUCAACAAUGGAAGACACUUUUUACUGGUCAUCAUCCUACCUCUUAACCAAUCAUAAGCCGUACUCUACAACCAUUGCAUGAGACCGCUCUUUCUCUUCCAUGCCAAUGGACCGACUUCAAGCAUGGGGUUUGGAAGUGCCGGAAUCUUGUUUACUUUGUGACAUUGAGCGGAAUCAGUUGAUCACCUAUUUUUCAGCUGCGGUUAUUAUGCCUUAAUAUAGACAUUCCUCUUUCAACACUCAACUCUUCAGGGACAUCGGAUUGAAUCUUUAUUAGGCCAUGCACUUUGGGCAGAAUAAAGUUUCUCUGACAGGUGCUUGCGAUUGAUGACCAAGCUUCUCUUCCAAGGGACGAUUUAUACUAUCUGGAAAGAGAGAAACACUAGACUCCAUGAUAAUUCAUCCAUGUCAAAACAGAUCCUCGCCAAAGAAAUUUUCCUGAGUGCACUGUGGAAGUUGUCUUCUAUCCGAGACGAUUGGAAGACUAGCAAUCUCGAAGACUCGUUGCUCUCAAUUUGGUUUCGACACUUUGAUCCUAUCUAGCUGAUUGAAAAAUCUCUUUGUAUUUGAACCGUGCGUUGAUCAAUAGAGUUGUCUGUACUAUUGCUGUUGUUUGAUUAUAACAGCUUUAUGUAAGAACACACGGUAUAUAUAUGA